GCCUUCGUGGUGUAAUGGUCACCACACUGAGCCGGUAUUUCAGAGGUCCGCGGUUCGAUUCCCGGCGAAGGCG
rfam:Stegodyphus mimosarum contig83580, whole genome shotgun sequence.